GAAAGACUGAAUUAUUUUCUAUACUUUAAUAUUAUUUUGUAAGUUAAGUUCGAUGAUUUCAAGAACGCUUUAAUGAAAGCUCUUUAGUCCAAGACAAGACAAAGUUUCCCACAACAACAAAUCAGCUGAAAGCUGUCAAAGUCUUAGGUUUAUGGAACUUGAACCCACCGCAGCUCCUUAACGAAACGCAGCUAAAAUCCAAAGUUACGCUUCUAUUGAAAGCAACCGACAAAAAUUGGAUUAUUGAUAUCAGAAUUAUCAACUCGAUGCGUGAAGGUUGAGUGAAGAGCGGAGUGAAGGGCAGAGGGAGAGAUAUGAUACGCGCAGCAUUUAUUAACAUUGCUCGCUGGGGCGUGGCAGCUGCUGCUGCUGCCAAAAGGUGUUAAGUGGCAGCCACGAUGCGAGUGCAAAUGAUGAUGAGCCACGGCGAGCCGUAGCCGUAGCCGCCGAAUAUGAGCGUUGGAAAAUCUGCGUAAAUUUCGAAGCGAGCGGCCAUAAAUAACAACAAACACCGCUGCAGGCGGCAGCAACAAACAUUGAACAUAAUAUAUGUUAGGAAAUGAGAGCGGCGCAAUGAUAGACUAACUAGAUAUCCUGUAAUCAAACGAAAAUGAAAUUAAAAGUGAUGUAAUUAUUGCGAAAGCAACAAAAUUAAUAUGAUAUAUAUACAAAAAUAUGUGUAGUGAAAUGACAGACUAGCUAGAUAUCCUGUAAGUCAAUAAAUAAUAUUUAAACUACAUGAUAAAUGUUUGCGCUGAUGUGGGAGCGAUAAAUGUUAACUAACAUGAAUGGAAGAAUAUAUCUGUUACUCAGAUAAAGCUCAUACGGAAACGUAGAUAUAUAUUUUUUCGCAAAUAAUUUCAGCUUUAAUUUAAG